CGGGACGGGUGAUAAUGUCUGGGAAACUGCCCGAUGGAGGGGGAUAACUACUGGAAACGGUAGCUAAUACCGCAUAACGUCGCAAGACCAAAGAGGGGACCUUCGGGCCUCUUGCCAUCGGAUGUGCCCAGAUGGGAUUAGCUAGUAGGUGGGGUAAUGGCUCACCUAGGCGACGAUCCCUAGCUGGUCUGAGAGGAUGACCAGCCACACUGGAACUGAGACACGGUCCAG
rnacentral:rRNA from 1 species